GAUGAACGCUGGCGGCGUGCCUAAUACAUGCAAGUCGAGCGAACGGACGAGAAGCUUGCUUCUCUGAUGUUAGCGGCGGACGGGUGAGUAACACGUGGAUAACCUACCUAUAAGACUGGGAUAACUUCGGGAAACCGGAGCUAAUACCGGAUAAUAUUUUGAACCGCAUGGUUCAAAAGUGAAAGACGGUCUUGCUGUCACUUAUAGAUGGAUCCGCGCUGCAUUAGCUAGUUGGUAAGGUAACGGCUUACCAAGGCAACGAUGCAUAGCCGACCUGAGAGGGUGAUCGGCCACACUGGAACUGAGACACGGUCCAGACUCCUACGGGAGGCAGCAGUAGGGAAUCUUCCGCAAUGGGCGAAAGCCUGACGGAGCAACGCCGCGUGAGUGAUGAAGGUCUUCGGAUCGUAAAACUCUGUUAUUAGGGAAGAACAUAUGUGUAAGUAACUGUGCACAUCUUGACGGUACCUAAUCAGAAAGCCACGGCUAACUACGUGCCAGCAGCCGCGGUAAUACGUAGGUGGCAAGCGUUAUCCGGAAUUAUUGGGCGUAAAGCGCGCGUAGGCGGUUUUUUAAGUCUGAUGUGAAAGCCCACGGCUCAACCGUGGAGGGUCAUUGGAAACUGGAAAACUUGAGUGCAGAAGAGGAAAGUGGAAUUCCAUGUGUAGCGGUGAAAUGCGCAGAGAUAUGGAGGAACACCAGUGGCGAAGGCGACUUUCUGGUCUGUAACUGACGCUGAUGUGCGAAAGCGUGGGGAUCAAACAGGAUUAGAUACCCUGGUAGUCCACGCCGUAAACGAUGAGUGCUAAGUGUUAGGGGGUUUCCGCCCCUUAGUGCUGCAGCUAACGCAUUAAGCACUCCGCCUGGGGAGUACGACCGCAAGGUUGAAACUCAAAGGAAUUGACGGGGACCCGCACAAGCGGUGGAGCAUGUGGUUUAAUUCGAAGCAACGCGAAGAACCUUACCAAAUCUUGACAUCCUUUGACAACUCUAGAGAUAGAGCCUUCCCCUUCGGGGGACAAAGUGACAGGUGGUGCAUGGUUGUCGUCAGCUCGUGUCGUGAGAUGUUGGGUUAAGUCCCGCAACGAGCGCAACCCUUAAGCUUAGUUGCCAUCAUUAAGUUGGGCACUCUAAGUUGACUGCCGGUGACAAACCGGAGGAAGGUGGGGAUGACGUCAAAUCAUCAUGCCCCUUAUGAUUUGGGCUACACACGUGCUACAAUGGACAAUACAAAGGGCAGCGAAACCGCGAGGUCAAGCAAAUCCCAUAAGGUUGUUCUCAGUUCGGAUUGUAGUCUGCAACUCGACUACAUGAAGCUGGAAUCGCUAGUAAUCGUAGAUCAGCAUGCUACGGUGAAUACGUUCCCGGGUCU
rnacentral:rRNA from 1 species